AGGGCUUCCCCCUGCCUAUAGUCCGGCUGUGGGAUUAGAGUUGGGCAGCUUUAUUCUUUAAAGACCAGGGAAGCAAUUGGAUAGUGUUGGAUAGCGGCAAAGCUGAACCAAUUCACUUAUCAUUGUAAAAACAUUUGUUAAGUACCUACUGUAUGCAGAGCUCCAAGAUUUUCUCCAGUGGGAAAUAUACACUCUAAGUUAAAUGAGAGGAUCUUGGUUAUUACAUUGAUGUCUAAAUCAUGGAGAAUGACUAUUUUCUUCUUUAGGAAGACCCAGACUUGGAAUCUCUGACUUCCAAGCUGACUCUGUGGCCUUCUACCUACUUGCCAAGGUAUCUUUACAAUAAUCUCUCAUCCCAGAAAAGACAUUCCUGUAAACUAAACAAAUGCAGGCUCAUAAAUAGGCUCUCAGGGUUAUUCAAGAGGAGAGUCCAUAUCCUCAUCACCAGAUCAAGUCAGUAAUGGAUAUUUGCUUUCUGGAUCUAUGCAUUCUGGUCUGUUGUUUAGAAGAAUCAGCCUUGUGAUUUUCUAGUCACACUAUUUACACAGAUGCCUCUGGAGCAUCACAAGAUCACGUCAUAGACAGAGGGUCUCAUGGAUCCUCUGCCAGCGUAGAGAACAUAGAAUCUUUUAGUUCCCUUGAUAUGGUUUAUUAUUAUUAUUACCAGAAGAAUCAUCAUAAUUCUACUUCUGUCAAAAUGUAUUCAUUACAAAUGAAAUUUCUGUUCAGAUCUCGUAGUUCAUGCCUGAAAGCAAAGAUAUUAGAAUUAAUGAGCAUUUUGCUGAUGAGAAGAAAAAUCACUGAAGGGUGAUCAGACUUUAGCCUUUUAAUGGGUCUGAUAUUCCUCUUUCAUUAGGGUUGACAAGGGCGUAUCUGGCUCCCUUAUGCUGUGUGCCAUGGUUUAAGAAGAUACUUUCUGUGACAUGAAGCGAGCUUUUCUUUGACAAUAAAAAAGCUCAGUAAUCGUGCAUAGUACAUGAACAGAGCUCCAUUGAAUGUGGGCAACAAGGAUUUACAAAGAGCAAGCCCACUCAGGGAACCGGGUAGCAACUCUGAAAGAACUGCAGAUAGGCCUUGACGACAACCAUGGCAGUGUUGGUAAGCAGGGCGUACAGACUCAGACAUGUUUUACCUGGGGUUCAAAUGGAUGUGGAUGUGUAUUGGAACGUGUUGUAACAGAGGGGCCAAAGGUUGACUCAAGAGAAACAUAAUUCGAAGCCUUCAGGUCCUUGGGAGCUUGGGCAAUCUUAUGAAUGGGUUUGGGGAGAGUUUUCAUACUGAGGAUAGCCAUUCAUGUUUAUUAUUUUUUUUAAUAAUAUAUUUUAUUUAACCCCAUAUAGCCAAAAUAUCAUUACAACAUAUAAUAAAUAUAAUAUUAUUAAUGAAUUAUUGUACA
rnacentral:lncRNA from 1 species